CUGGGAUAAGGUGUUCUCAUUUUCCCCGUCCUCUCCCGGCCCGCAUCCUGCCCUCUGGAAACUGGCAGUGCGGCUCGUGCUGAGGCAGGGCUGUGGAAGCGGUCCGCAGCAAUGCCCGGUGCGGUCCCUUGGCGGCCAGUGCUGGUCAGGGCCAGCACGAAAGCACCACCACCUUAAAUGCCGCCCAGCGCUGAGCAGGCGCUGCCUCCCUCCAGUGCCCUGCGGUCACGGCGCUCCCGACUCGUAGUUUUCAUUCCCGUCUCGAUAAAUCCCGAGGACCUCAGAUGAGAACAACAGAGGCUUUAAGUCAUAAACAAGCUUUUCUUGGACCUUCGGCUGACAGCUGUGCUCGGCGGCAGCAGAUCGCGAGGAGCAAAACGCAGAGCUUUGCUCCCCAUCUCAAAUUCCGUAUCCUGCUCCCUUCCAUGCCUGUGACUCCACUGACCUUCCCUGUGGAGCUGCCUGCUGCGGGGACAGCCCCGUCCUGAGCCCUGGAGUGCAGCUCUGAAAAGGCAGGGUUCAUUUGGUCAUGUCCUACUUCUGGGACAGGAACAGGCCGUGGCAUUGUUUACUAAUUAUGGAGCGUUUGGAAGCUGCUCAUCUUUACUUUCCCGUUUUAAAGCAUGAAUGCAGCUCUUCCAUGCUUUUACAGCUGUGGAUACUGUGUGUGAAUACUCUUUUCAGAAACAAAUGAGCAUUGUGCAAAAAUGCCAGGCCAGCAUUUUGAGCAAGAUGAAAAGAGCACAUAUGGAGUGGGGGCACGGAACACUGUCAAUGGAACUAAAUGGAACACCGUAGGAGCUAAACUCUAGAAGAUGACAGUACGAGGCAAAGAAAAUGUUAGCACCUGUGGGAUAUCAGGAGAGAGAAUGAGAGAGAAAAAACCCAAUGCAAUUAUCACCUGUGGUCAGUGAGGUGUAACAAGAGCUGGACUGUACCAAAUACUGUAAUGAGCAAUUAUCUAUGGCACUCCAUGGCUCUCCAAACUAAUUAAUCUUUUUUUGUCAGAGCAAAUAAAUGCUAGUGGAUAGUAUAUAUUCUUUAUAGUGCAUAUUUCUAAGCAUAAAUUAAAUAGUCAAGUGUGCUAAUUUGACCCAUUUGUGAAGGGAGAAUACUAAAAUAUGGCAGUGUAAAAUCUCUGGAACUCACAAGAACCCAUUCAUUUCAAAGGCAGGGGAGGAUACUUGUUAAUUUCAUGCUCACAACUUUUUGAUGGAACACCUCAGGAAAAAAUGGCCCCAGAAUAAAAUGCUUUGUAACACUGACAAAGCAUAGAGCUGCUUUCUAAAAUAAUUUGUUGGGUAAAGCUUGUGCUGUAAAGGAGUGCCAGAAAGGAAUGCCCAUCAGAGAUAUACAUGAUUGCCAUAAUAAUCAUUAUAUUGGUUUACAGUAGAAUAAAUAAUGUUGGUCUGCGUCAUGGCUGGCUGGAAACCAACCUGUUUAUAUAUAUGAAGUGCUGAUGGAUGAGAGGAGAGUGAGCAUGCAGCCUCGAGGUAUCUCACAUAUGUACCAGACCCCUAAGAUCUUGCAAGCCAAUCGUGAUGACAGUCAUAAGCAAAAUGGGAGUUAGAAGGAAACUUUUCAAACCCUCUAUUAAACCCAUGACAGGACUUAAAGAGGUAAAAAGUGCUUAGACAAGACAAAAAAUGAUAAUUCCUUGGAAGACUGCUAUGGCUAAUGAUGUUUUGAACAACACAGCUGUGCUGGAAAUGGUGGGAGCUGAUAUCAGUGGUCUGUAACAAACAGUCAGUAAAACUGAAAGUUGAAUUCA